rnacentral:ncRNA from 2 species
CUGCCCUUUGUACACACCGCCCGUCGCUACUACCGAUUGAAUGGCUCAGUGAGGCGUCCGGACUGGCCCAGAGAGGUGGGCAACUACCACUCAGGGCCGGAAAGCUCUCCAAACUCGGUCAUUUAGAGGAAGUAAAAGUCGUAACAAGGUCUCCGUUGGUGAACCAGCGGAGGGAUCAUUACCGAGUUUACAACUCCCAAACCCCUGUGAACAUACCACUUGUUGCCUCGGCGGAUCAGCCCGCUCCCGGUAAAACGGGACGGCCCGCCAGAGGACCCCUAAACUCUGUUUCUAUAUGUAACUUCUGAGUAAAACCAUAAAUAAAUCAAAACUUUCAACAACGGAUCUCUUGGUUCUGGCAUCGAUGAAGAACGCAGCAAAAUGCGAUAAGUAAUGUGAAUUGCAGAAUUCAGUGAAUCAUCGAAUCUUUGAACGCACAUUGCGCCCGCCAGUAUUCUGGCGGGCAUGCCUGUUCGAGCGUCAUUUCAACCCUCAAGCACAGCUUGGUGUUGGGACUCGCGUUAAUUCGCGUUCCUCAAAUUGAUUGGCGGUCACGUCGAGCUUCCAUAGCGUAGUAGUAAAACCCUCGUUACUGGUUUUCGUCGCGGCCACGCCGUUAAACCCCAACUUCUGAAUGUUGACCUCGGAUCAGGUAGGAAUACCCGCUGAACUUAAG